rnacentral:rRNA from 1 species
ACUGCUCAGUAACACGUGGAUAACCUGCCCUUGGGUCCGGCAUAACCCCGGGAAACUGGGGAUAAUUCCGGAUAACGCACAUAUGCUGGAAUGCUUUAUGCGUAAAAUGGAUUCGUCUGCCCAAGGAUGGGUCUGCGGCCUAUCAGGUAGUAGUGGGUGUAAUGUACCUACUAGCCAACAACGGGUACGGGUUGUGAGAGCAAGAGCCCGGAGAUGGAUUCUGAGACAUGAAUCCAGGCCCUACGGGGCGCAGCAGGCGCGAAAACUUUACAAUGCGGGAAACCGUGAUAAGGGGACACCGAGUGCCAGCAUCAUAUGCUGGCUGUCCAGGUGUGUAAAAUACACCUGUUAUCAAGGGCCGGGCAAGACCGGUGCCAGCCGCCGCGGUAACACCGGCGGCCCGAGUGGUGAUCGUGAUUAUUGGGUCUAAAGGGUCCGUAGCCGGUUUGGUCAGUCCUCCGGGAAAUCUGAUAGCUCAACUAUUAGGCUUUCGGGGGAUACUGCCAGGCUUGGAACCGGGAGAGGUAAGAGGUACUACAGGGGUAGGAGUGAAAUCUUGUAAUCCCUGUGGGACCACCUGUGGCGAAGGCGUCUUACCAGAACGGGUUCGACGGUGAGGGACGAAAGCUGGGGGCACGAACCGGAUUAGAUACCCGGGUAGUCCCAGCCGUAAACGAUGCUCGCUAGGUGUCAGGCAUGGCGCGACCGUGUCUGGUGCCGCAGGGAAGCCGUGAAGCGAGCCACCUGGGAAGUACGGCCGCAAGGCUGAAACUUAAAGGAAUUGGCGGGGGAGCAC